CAGCAGCCACGGUAAAACGGAGGGUGCGAGCGUUAAUCGGAAUUACUGGGCGUAAAGAGUGCGUAGGUGGUUAAUUAAGUUAUCUGUGAAAUUCCUGGGCUCAACCUGGGGACUGCAUUUGAUACGUAUGGACUUGAGUGGAGAAGAGGGUCGUGGAAUUUCCAGUGUAGAGGUGAAAUUCGUAGAUAUUGGAAAGAACACCGGUGGCGAAGGCGGCGACCUGGUCUUUAACUGACGCUGAUGCACGAAAGCGUGGGGAGCAAACAGGAUUAGAGACCCCCGUAGUCCCUGUCUCUUAUAC
rnacentral:rRNA from 1 species